GAGUCAUCAUCUUAUUUUAGAAAAAUAUUUCACAGAAUAAGGUUUUAUUUUUCCCCUUCAAUCUUUAGUAAAAUUAAUAGAUUUGUAUUUAAAAAAUAAAUAAAAAACAAAUUUUUUGAAUAAAAAUAAAAAACAAUUUCAAGAAAAAUAUAGAAAAAGAAGGUUAUUUUAAUUCAUAAAAUUAAUUAAUUUUUUUUGCCUAUGAAUUUUAUUAUUUUAUCAUUCUUAUUAGCUUCUUGGCUCGGCUAUUUCUAGAACGCAUUACAACAAUCUACCUUUUUUUUUUUUUUUCAAUCCGAUCUGAACUUCUUGCGGCAAAUCAUGCUCUCUAUAGCUUCCUGUUUGGUUUCCAAGAAACCAGAAGAAAAUUGGGAAAGCACUACAAGAAAAUAAAAAGAAAAAAACCUAAAAAGAAAAACAGUAUCUUCUUUCCUAGAUUUGUAAGAUUUUGAAACAUUAAUGUUGGAUUGGAAGUUUCAAAAAAUGCAUUCUUUUGUUUUCCAGCAGACAUUCAAUGGGUCCCCCAAAGACACCAUCAAGCCAUUUGUGCUGGGUUGCGUAUUCGAUCGGAUCUUGAAUUUAUAGGGCUGCUUAUUCGAGUCUGCGUCUCUUUUUAUCCGCAGCCAUUCAUUUGUUCGGAUUCACGUUUCUGUACGUGUAGGUGAUGUAUGACAAGGAUCUUCCUAGCCAAAAAGGAGAUAAAAAGGGUGCUUGACAAGAAGAAAGUGAGGGGGCCAAGUUGUACUGUCUCAGAAGAAAAUUGGAAACACUUAAAUAAGCAUUAGAAAAGGCAAUAUGGCUCAUGGAGAUUCCUUGAUAAAGUGUUGCCAAUUUCAAGUUCAUUUUGUACUUUUUUUCUUUCCACUCUGGAAUUAGGUCUAGUUAAUGUAUGGGAGAGGCCAGCGUUGCUAAUUCAAUACAACUUUGCCAAAACUGAUAAAUCUGAUUUUACUAUGUUAAUGAAUAUUUUUCGCGUCAACAGAAUUAUGAUUGAUGGGUUAUUAUCA